GUCAAAUCAUCAUGCCCCUUAUGUUCUGGGCUACACACGUACUACAAUGGCGGACAGACAAAGCGAAGCGAAGCAGCGAUGUGGAGCGAAUCGCAAAAAGCCGCCUCAGUUCGGAUCGCAGGCUGCAACCCGCCUGCGUGAAGUCGGAAUUGCUAGUAAUCGCGGAUCAGCAUGCCGCGGUGAAUACGUUCCCGGGCCUU
rnacentral:rRNA from 1 species